GAUGAACGCUGGCGGCGUGCCUAAUACAUGCAAGUCGAGCGAACAGACGAGGAGCUUGCUCCUCUAACGUUAGCGGCGGACGGGUGAGUAACACGUGGAUAACCUACCUAUAAGACUGGGAUAACUUCGGGAAACCGGAGCUAAUACCGGAUAAUAUAUUGAACCGCAUGGUUCAAUAGUGAAAGACGGUUUUGCUGUCACUUAUAGAUGGAUCCGCGCCGCAUUAGCUAGUUGGUAAGGUAACGGCUUACCAAGGCGACGAUGCGUAGCCGACCUGAGAGGGUGAUCGGCCACACUGGAACUGAGACACGGUCCAGACUCCUACGGGAGGCAGCAGUAGGGAAUCUUCCGCAAUGGGCGAAAGCCUGACGGAGCAACGCUGCGUGAGUGAUGAAGGUCUUCGGAUCGUAAAACUCUGUUAUUAGGGAAGAACAAAUGUGUAAGUAACUAUGCACGUCUUGACGGUACCUAAUCAGAAAGCCACGGCUAACUACGUG
rnacentral:rRNA from 1 species